CAUGCAGUCGAGCGAACUGAUUAGAAGCUUGCUUCUAUGACGUUAGCGGCGGACGGGUGAGUAACACGUGGGCAACCUGCCUGUAAGACUGGGAUAACUUCGGGAAACCGAAGCUAAUACCGGAUAGGAUCUUCUCCUUCAUGGGAGAUGAUUGAAAGAUGGUUUCGGCUAUCACUUACAGAUGGGCCCGCGGUGCAUUAGCUAGUUGGUGAGGUAACGGCUCACCAAGGCAACGAUGCAUAGCCGACCUGAGAGGGUGAUCGGCCACACUGGGACUGAGACACGGCCCAGACUCCUACGGGAGGCAGCAGUAGGGAAUCUUCCGCAAUGGACGAAAGUCUGACGGAGCAACGCCGCGUGAGUGAUGAAGGCUUUCGGGUCGUAAAACUCUGUUGUUAGGGAAGAACAAGUACAAGAGUAACUGCUUGUACCUUGACGGUACCUAACCAGAAAGCCACGGCUAACUACGUGCCAGCAGCCGCGGUAAUACGUAGGUGGCAAGCGUUAUCCGGAAUUAUUGGGCGUAAAGCGCGCGCAGGCGGUUUCUUAAGUCUGAUGUGAAAGCCCACGGCUCAACCGUGGAGGGUCAUUGGAAACUGGGGAACUUGAGUGCAGAAGAGAAAAGCGGAAUUCCACGUGUAGCGGUGAAAUGCGUAGAG
rnacentral:rRNA from 2 species